rnacentral:rRNA from 1 species
GAUGAACGCUGGCGGCGUGUCUAACACAUGCAAGUCGAACGGAGUUGUUAUUAGGAAGUUUUCGGAUGGAAUAAUAAUAACUUAGUGGCGGACGGGUGAGUAACGCGUGGGUAACCUGCCUCAUACAGGGGGAUAACAGUUGGAAACGGCUGCUAAAACCGCAUGACAUUGCGAUGUCGCAUGACAAUGCAAUGAAAUAUUUAUAGGUAUGAGAUGGGCCCGCGUCUGAUUAGCUAGUUGGUGAGGUAAUGGCCCACCAAGGCGACGAUCAGUAGCCGGCUUGAGAGAGUGACCGGCCACAUUGGGACUGAGACACGGCCCAAACUCCUACGGGAGGCAGCAGUGGGGGAUAUUGCACAAUGGGGGAAACCCUGAUGCAGCGACGCCGCGUGAGUGAAGAAGUAUUUCGGUAUGUAAAGCUCUAUCAGCAGGGAAGAAAAUGACGGUACCUGACUAAGAAGCCCCGGCUAACUACGUGCCAGCCGCCGCCGUAA